ACUAACCUGCAAUUACUGCGACCAGACAACCCCAACAAACUAGCCUGUAAUCACCACUAUCAACCAAAGCGGGAUUGGAGGGGGGGUGAAAGAGUCCUGAGAGGAACCUGGUCUGCCCCCGCCCCCUGUUUGCCCACCACCCCCUGAGACCAAAGGAGGAUUGCGAAAGAAACCACUGAAUGCAUGUUCUCUGCUAUAAAACAUUCCCGUUCAGUGAUGGUCCUCGGCUCAUCUUGCAUGUAAAUCAGAGUUUUGUAUGCUUGAUGACCACAGCAACAGUCAUGUGACAGGAGAGCACAUGGCUGGAGGAGUUAGCACCACGGAGGAAACUGAAAUUGGAAGAAAUCGAGGAUAGGAGGCCUCACAUUGCCUGCUGCAAGGAGGAGACGGUGAUCAGCGGAUCAAAUUUGGGGCCAUAGAUAAUGUAUGUGGCUAAUUUACAGCUUGGAGGUUUCUUAAUCUCGUCCUGCGCCGGUCCUGAGGUGACAAGCAAAGCUGCAUUCAGAAACUCUGAGGUGUAAUCAGCAAUCAGAAAAAGGAAGCCGGAUGUCAGGCUUUUAUAAAUGGUUUCCUCAGAGGAGUUUGA